AGAUGGCAGUCAGUGUCAAGUUUCUCUCUCCUCUGUCACGAUGAGGAGAAACUCAGAUCUGCUGUUCUCAUUAAUAUCAACUGUCUGACAUUCAAACCCUGAACUGCAGCUUCAUACUCACAUCUACUGUGAGCUUACUUUCUUUUUGCUCACCAUCUCAUAUAGAUUACAAGAUAAACAGCCAGGAGACUAAAGGACCUGCUGUUUGUUCUUGUGCCUGAGAGACAUUGUGAUGGAAGCUGAAUGAAUAAGUGAUACUGCAAUGAGACAAACUUUCACUUCUUGGGCUGAUAGAGGAAAAACUAUGUCUUACUUUGUCACAUUCUUCCUCUGUGAGCAGUAAUCCACCUCACUGAGGUGACCAAUCACUUCUUAAGCUAACUAAUGAGACUGACAGUGCAGCAUGUUGUGUAAAUUAAGAAAAGGAGAAACACUGAACAACAUCUUUAAUGCUGGUGUCUCAGUCUGUUUUGAACUCUCUCUCUCUCAGAGUCCAGCACUCCUUCACAAACUCCAACUGCUAAAAUGCAAAUCCACACACUGAUGUACAAUCCCCACCCAUUCUGUCUACACAGUAUAUAUCCACCAUAACAGCCUUUACAGGUUUAGACUCAAUCAAGUUCCCACCAUGACAGUUGUACAGAGUGUCGUCCUCUUGGCUCUGAUUUCAGCUGCUCAGGGCCAGUCGCUCACCUCCUCAGAGCCAGUGGUCAGCAGAGCUGGAGGAUCAGUCACUCUGUCCUGUAAAGUGGAAGGACUGUCUCUGGCUUGGCUGCACUGGAUCCGUCAGAAACCAGGGAAAGGACUGGAAUGGAUCGGACGCAUUGAUGGUGGAACUGGCACCAUAUUUGCCCAGAGUCUCCAAGGCCAGUUUUCCAUCACCAAAGACACUUCCAGAAAUCUUGUGUACUUAGAGGUGAAGAGUGUGAAAGAAGAAGACUCUGCAGUUUAUUAUUGUGCACGAGAGCCACAGUGACACAUGAGACGACAAAGCUGUACAAACACUGAACAACACUGAUGUCUGUAUGAGAAGCACUGAAGCAUGUCAGGGCUUUGAAAA